AGAGAUUUGAAACUAUUGCUUGGUUGAAAACAUCUGGCUGCUCAUCUAGAAAGUGACUCUUAAAGGGACUUACCAAUUUGGGCCUCUUCCAGAGCUGAAAGCCGAUUACAAAUAUGAAACAGAUUUCACUACUGGACUUGAACUCCACAUAAAAAACAAGGAGAUUCUCAAAAUAGUUGAAAAAUACUUUCACCCAAAAGUAGAUGCAGUAUAAAUGGCAGGAUAUCAAGGAGAUUUUGUUAUCAAGUCUUACAAAAAAACGACAAUGAAAUGUUGGUGGAGUGAAUGAAGAAUCUGUCUUCCUGCAUCAUGGGAACCAUACUGAGAUAGUAGAACAAUG